AGUGAACGCUGGCGGUAGGCCUAACACAUGCAAGUCGAACGGCAGCACAGUAAGAGCUUGCUCUUACGGGUGGCGAGUGGCGGACGGGUGAGGAAUACAUCGGAAUCUACUUUUUCGUGGGGGAUAACGUAGGGAAACUUACGCUAAUACCGCAUACGACCUACGGGUGAAAGCAGGGGAUCUUCGGACCUUGCGCGAUUGAAUGAGCCGAUGUCGGAUUAGCUAGUUGGCGGGGUAAAGGCCCACCAAGGCGACGAUCCGUAGCUGGUCUGAGAGGAUGAUCAGCCACACUGGAACUGAGACACGGGCCAGACUCCUACGGGAGGCAGCAGUGGGGAAUAUUGGACAAUGGGCGCGAGCCUGAUCCAGCCAUACCGCGUGGGUGAAGAAGGCCUUCGGGUUGUAAAGCCCUUUUGUUGGGAAAGAAAAGCAGCAGGUUAAUACCCCGCUGUUCUGACGGUACCCAAAGAAUAAGCACCGGCUAACUUCGU
rnacentral:rRNA from 1 species